CAGCAGCCGCGGGAAUACGUAGGUGGCGAGCGUUACCCGGAUUUACUGGGCGUAAAGGGCGUGUAGGCGGCCUGGGGCGUCCCAUGUGAAAGGCCACGGCUCAACCGUGGAGGAGCGUGGGAUACGCUCAGGCUAGAGGGUGGGAGAGGGUGGUGGAAUUCCCGGAGUAGCGGUGAAAUGCGCAGAUACCGGGAGGAACGCCGAUGGCGAAGGCAGCCACCUGGUCCACUUCUGACGCUGAGGCGCGAAAGCGUGGGAAGCAAACCGGAUUAGAUACCCCAGUAGUCCCUGUCUCUUAUAC
rnacentral:rRNA from 1 species